rnacentral:rRNA from 1 species
UACCAGCACCCCGAGUGGUCGGGACGAUUAUUGGGCCUAAAGCAUCCGUAGCCGGUUCUGCAAGUCUUCCGUUAAAUCCAACUGCUUAACAGUUGGGCUGCGGAGGAUACUAUAGAGCUAGGAGGCGGGAGGGGCAAGCGGUACUUAGUGGGUAGGGGUAAAAUCCGUUGAUCCACUGAAGACCACCAGUGGCGAAGGCGGCUUGCCAGAACGCGCUCGACGGUGAGGGAUGAAAGCUGGGGGAGCAAACCGGAUUAGAAACCCUCGUAGUCC